ensembl:lncRNA
AGAUCUUCCUACCCCCGAAGCCCCACUAGGUAGCAGAGCUGGAAACCCCCACGCUCUAUGGGUUGGAAGCUGAUUGUAUGGAAGACUCUGUCUGGUCACAAAGGAGAAUUCCACGGACAGAGGAACCUGGCUGGCUACGGUGCCUGGGGUCACAAAGAGUCAGACACGACUGAGCAACUUCCACUUUCACAAGAGCAAAGCAAAGUAACCCUGCUUUUUCUAGCUUGAGACACUCACUUUCUCUGGAAUCACCUGGGUGACUCAUGUCACAAGAAGUGAAGAGCAAGAUGAGCCAGGGCCCGCUGUCCAGGAUGGGGCCCGCCACCGGGCAGCGUCACGGAAGGGAGCUGGGUGAAUCUUCGUGAGGAGCUCCAAGAACUGCCUCCUCAAAUGCCAAGAGAGACCUAGUGGUUUGAUCAGAGCAGCCCUCACCGGGCCCUGCGGCAACGAAUCUGCCAAAACUAAACAAACAAAAGCUGUGGCAAGCAGGGCUCAGCUGUUACGAGGCCAAUUUCCGCCAAGACCGCCCAGAUGCUGCCACCCCAGCAGGUGGUGCCCUGGGGGACGGGGCCUGAAAUGGGACCUGCUCUGUAGGGCGUGGGCUUGGAGGUUCAGGGGGGUGCCUUCUUGGCCAGGCCUAGUGCUCCGGGAGCGGGAUGGCCUUGAAGACUUGCUGGGUUUCCCACAAAGGGCAGGAGGUUACAUUCCAAAAUGCAAGCUUGCGUCUGUUGACCUGAAGCAAACAGACCGCAGGUGUUUCUGCAGCAAAGUUGGGUUUAUUCAAUUCGGGAUCAGCAGGGAAUUGCACUUAAGGCUCUCUGCCGUGGCGGCCACAUGCAAGACCGCACCCGGCAAGGGAAGGAGCAGCUUUCAUAGAGGGGACACGGGCCGGGCCGGCUGGGUAAACAGAGCCUGGGCUUCUCACGGCGGAGUCCUGGCGGGGAGGAAGGGGACUCUCCCUUCCACGGUGGGGCUCCGCUGUGGCUGCAGGGCGAGAGCGCCCCCUGCUGGACCCCUGUCUGUCUACCCAGGGUUUCCAUUCAUUAAAGUUUCACCGGCGUCCGGACGGAAGCCAAAAGGGACAUGAGAUACGCAUUUUUCCUUAUUCCUGCUUGGGGAGGGUGCUCAGAACGUUUUCCUUCUUUCUAAAGAAAGCAAGCGCUUUCAGCACAUUCUAGGUGCCCAUGCGCCCGUAGGUCGCCCACCAGCCCCUCGUCAGGAGGGGACAGAGCGCAACGCGGGCGGGAAGUGCUCUGCCUUCGCCUCGGGGCCGCCCUCCCCUCCCCGCCAAGUCGCAGCAGCGCUCACACUGCCCCCGCUUCCGGGGCUGCCCGACUCCAAAGGCAGCGCGGACCUGCGCGAGGACCUGGGGCCGCUCCUCCGGUGAGCCGUCUGGGCCGCGGCCAGCCCUGGGCUCGUCUACAGAGUAUUCUCAGAUGACGUGUGACUGCGUCGCCCUCAAUGACUUUUUACCUGAACACCCAGAAUUCAUGAAAUGCCCACGGUGACAACACCAGCCGAAUUUGGUCUCUGACCCCAGCUGCUGACAUGGAGCUCCUGGAACCUGUGUAAUUUCCUGGUUGAUGGGAGUGUCUUCAGUUCUCAUGAGAUGACUCUGGGUGGAGCUCCUGCAUGAGGGCUGCUCCCCAGAAAGACCAAGCCAUGAUGAGAAGCUUGGAAACUUCAGCCUCACCCCCACAUUCUCUUGAGAAGGGAGAAGGUCUGAAAAUGGAGUUAAU